rnacentral:rRNA from 1 species
UGGGGAAUCUUGCGCAAUGGGCGAAAGCCUGACGCAGCGACGCCGCGUGAGCGAUGAAGGCCUUCGGGUUGUAAAGCUCUGUGGAGGGGGACGAAUAAGGGCACGCUAAUACCGUGUUUGAUGACGGUACCCCUUUAGCAAGCACCGGCUAACUCUGUGCCAGCAGCCGCGGUAAGACAGAGGGUGCAAACGUUGUUCGGAAUUACUGGGCGUAAAGCGCGUGUAGGCUGUUCGGAAAGUCGGAUGUGAAAGCCCCGGGCUCAACCCGGGAAGUGCAUUCGAAACUUCCGAGCUGGAGUCCUGGAGAGGAAGGCGGAAUUCUCGGUGUAGAGGUGAAAUUCGUAGAUAUCGAGAGGAACACCGGUGGCGAAGGCGGCCUUCUGGACAGUGACUGACGCUGAGACGCGAAAGCGUGGGGAGCAAACA